UUCCUUUGAAUGGGAAUCGAACCCACAGAGUUCCGCUUACCGGGCAGAUGCCAUGUCCACUAGGCUACUCUGGA